rnacentral:rRNA from 1 species
GGAUUGGGAGGGUUCUACGGAACCCGUUUGGUGAAUCUAGUGCCGAGAAAAGCCUUCUAUGUGUUGAAUUUCUAGUACCCGUACCCCAAACCGACACAGGUGGGUGGGUAGAGCAUACCUAGGGGCGCGUGAUAACUCUCUCUAAGGAACUCGGCAAAAUGGCCCUGUAACUUCGGGAUAAGGGGUGCCUGCGUGAGCAGGCCGCAGUGAAAUGGCUCUGGCGACUGUUUACCAAAAACACAGGUCUCUGCUAAGUCGUAAGACAAUGUAUAGGGGCUGACUCCUGCCCAGUGCCGGAAGGUUAAGGAAGUUGGUUAGCGCAAGCGAAGCUGGCGACCGAAGCCCCGGUGAACGGCGGCCGUAACGAUAACGGUCCUAAGGUAGCGAAAUUCCUUGUCGGGUAAGUUCCGACCCGCACGAAAGGAGUAACGAUCAGAGCGCUGUCUCGGAGAGAGACACGGCGAAAUAGGAUUGUCCGUGAAGAUACGGACUACCUGCACCCGGACAGAAAGACCCUAUGAAGCUUUACUGUAACUUGGAAUUGUGUUCGGACUUUGUCUGCGCAGAAUAGGUGGGAGGCUAUGAAACGUUCCUCGCGGGGAACUGGAGCCAUCGUUGAGAUACCACUCUGGCAGAGUCUGGAUUCUAACCUACGGGGACAGUUCCAGGUGGGCAGUUUGACUGGGGCGGUCGCCUCCUAAAAUGUAACGGAGGCGCGCAAAGGUUCCCUCAGGCUGGUUGGAAAUCAGCCAUAGAGUGUAAAAGCAUAAGGGAGCUUGACUGUGAGACCUACAAGUCGAGCAGGGACGAAAGUCGGCUUUAGUGAUCCGACGGCACUGAGUGGGAGGGCCGUCGCUCAACGGAUAAAAGUUACUCUAAGGAUAACAGGCUGAUCUCCCCCAAGAGUUCACAUCGACGGGGAGGUUUGGCACCUCGAUGUCGGCUCGUCGCAACCUGGGGCGGUAGUACGUCCCAAGGGUUGGGCUGUUCGCCCAUUAAAGCGGCACGUGAGCUGGGUUCAGAACGUCGUGAGACAGUUCGGUCCAUAUCCGGUGUAGGCGUAGGAGCAUUGAAAGGAUCUCUCCUUAGUACGAGAGGACCGGGAGGGACGUACCUCUGGUGUACCUGUUAUCGUGCCAACGGUAAACGCAGGGUAGCCUUGUACGGAGUGGAUAACCGCUGAAAGCAUCUAAGUGGGAAGCCCACCUUAAGAUGAGUGCUCCCUUGAGGCCACGGGAAGACGACCCGUUUGAUAGGCGCUAGGUGGAAGUGCAGUAAUGCAUGCAGCCGAGGCGUACUAAUAGGCCGAUGGCUUGUCC